UAGGGAAUUUUCGUCAAUGGGGGGAACCCUGAACGAGCAAUGCCGCGUGUGUGAAGAAGGUCUUCGGAUCGUAAAGCACUGUUGUAAGUGAAGAAUGCCAUAUAGAGGAAAUGCUAUGUGGGUGACGGUAGCUUACCAGAAAGCCACGGCUAACUACGUGCCAGCAGCCGCGGUAAUACGUAGGUGGCAAGCGUUAUCCGGAAUCAUUGGGCGUAAAGGGUGCGUAGGUGGCACGAUAAGUCUGAAGUAAAAAGGCAACAGCUCAACUGUUGUAUGCUUUGGAAACUGUCGAGCUAGAGUGCAGAAGAGGGCGAUGGAAUUCCAUGUGUAGCGGUAAAAAUGCGUAGAUAUAUGGAGGAACACCAGUGGCGAAGGCGGUCGCCUGGUCUGUAACUGACACUGAUGCACGAAAGCGUGGGGAGCAAAUAGGAUUAGAUACC
rnacentral:rRNA from 1 species